rnacentral:lncRNA from 1 species
GGUUUUUGUGUGGUUAAUGAGAAAAUAGUGAUGAUUUUGUGAUGUUGUGUGAUUAUGGUGAAAAGAGGUUGUGCAAGGAUGAAACUAUGGUUAUGGAGGAAGGUGUUAACGGUUGUUGUGGUUGAUGUUGCCGGAAGAGAUUUCUUUGGUGAAGCUCGAAAAUGGCGAAGGGAGUUUUUGGUUUAUUGAUCUAGCUUGUUUCAAAAGUUCUUUUUUUUUUUUCUGACUUUGGUUGUUUCGUUUUUGAUUUGUUUUGUUAGUGAGAUGGUGAGUUUAAUGUUUGUUGAAGGAUGGAGGGAGAU